rnacentral:rRNA from 1 species
AGCGAACGCUGGCGGCAGGCCUAACACAUGCAAGUCGAGCGCCCCGCAAGGGGAGCGGCAGACGGGAGAGUAACACGUGGGAACGUACCUUUCAGUUCGGAACAACCCAGGGAAACUUGGGCUAAUACCGAAUACGCCCGUAAGGGAAGGAUUUAUCGCUGAAAGAUCGGCCCGCGUCUGAUUAGCUAGUUGGUGAGGUAAUGGCUCACCAAGGCGACGAUCAGUAGCUGGUCUGAGAGGAUGAUCAGCCUCAUUGGGACUGAGACACGGCCCAAACUCCUACGGGAGGCAGCAGUGGGGAAUAUUGGACAAUGGGCGCAAGCCUGAUCCAGCCAUGCCGCGUGGGUGAUGAAGGCCCUAGGGUUGUAAAGCCCUUUCGGCGGGGAAGAUAAUGACGGUACCCGCAGAAGAAGCCCCGGCUAACUUCGUGCCAGCCGCCG